rnacentral:rRNA from 1 species
GGUUGAUCCUGCCAGUAGCAUAUGCUUGUCUCUUAGACUAAGCCAUGCAUGUCUAAGUAUAAACAAAUCAGUACUGUGAAACUGCGGACGGCUCAUUAAAUCAGUUACAAUCUACUUGAUUGCAAUACUUUUUGGGUUAUUAAUAUUUUCCUUUAAUAGUUAGUCGGGUAACUUUAGUAAUUCUAGAGCUAAUACGUGCAAACAACUCCAACUCUCUUCUCGGGAGAAAGAGUGUAUUUAUUAGAUUAAAAACCAGUUUAUCUUUAAAAAACAGAUGAUUCAUAAUAACUGAA